rnacentral:rRNA from 1 species
UACGUAGGUGACUAGCGUUGUCCGGAUUUACUGGGCGUAAAGAGCGCGCAGGCGGUCGUUCAAGUCGAGUGUGAAAGCCCCCGGCUCAACUGGGGAGGGUCAUUCGAUACUGAUCGACUCGAAGGCAGGAGAGGGAAGUGGAAUUCCCGGUGUAGUGGUGAAAUGCGUAGAUAUCGGGAGGAACACCAGUGGCGAAGGCGACUUCCUGGCCUGUUCCUGACACUAAGACGCGAAAGCGUGGGUAGCAAACAGG